rnacentral:rRNA from 1 species
UUAAGCGACUAAGCGUACACGGUGGAUGCCCUGGCAGUCAGAGGCGAUGAAGGACGUGCUAAUCUGCGAAAAGCGUCGGUAAGGUGAUAUGAACCGUUACAGCCGGCGAUGUCCGAAUGGGGAAACCCAGUGCAAUUCGUUGCACUAUCGUUAACUGAAUACAUAGGUUAACGAGGCGAACCGGGGGAACUGAAACAUCUAAGUACCCCGAGGAAAAGAAAUCAACCGAGAUUCCCCCAGUAGCGGCGAGCGAACGGGGAGCAGCCCAGAGUCUGAAUCAGCUUGUGUGUUAGUGGAACGGUCUGGAAAGUCCGACGGUACAGGGUGAUAGUCCCGUACACCAAAAUGCACAGGCUGUGAACUCGAAGAGUAGGGCGGGACACGUGGUAUCCUGUCUGAAUAUGGGGGGACCAUCCUCCAAGGCUAAAUACUCCUGACUGACCGAUAGUGAACCAGUACCGUGAGGGAAAGGCGAAAAGAACCCCGGCGAGGGGAGUGAAAAAGAACCUGAAACCGUGUACGUACAAGCAGUGGGAGCACCUUCGGGUGUGACUGCGUACCUUUUGUAUAAUGGGUCAGCGACUUAUAUUCUGUAGCAAGGUUAACCGUAUAGGGGAGCCGCAGGGAAACCGAGUCUUAACUGGGCGUUAAGUUGCAGGGUAUAGACCCGAAACCCGGUGAUCUAGCCAUGGGCAGGUUGAAGGUUGGGUAACACUAACUGGAGGACCGAACCGACUAAUGUUGAAAAAUUAGCGGAUGACUUGUGGCUGGGGGUGAAAGGCCAAUCAAACCGGGAGAUAGCUGGUUCUCCCCGAAAGCUAUUUAGGUAGCGCCUCGUGAACUCAUCUUCGGGGGUAGAGCACUGUUUCGGCUAGGGGGUCAUCCCGACUUACCAACCCGAUGCAAACUACGAAUACCGAAGAAUGUUAUCACGGGAGACACACGGCGGGUGCUAACGUCCGUCGUGAAGAGGGAAACAACCCAGACCGCCAGCUAAGGUCCCAAAGUCAUGGUUAAGUGGGAAACGAUGUGGGAAGGCACAGACAGCCAGGAUGUUGGCUUAGAAGCAGCCAUCAUUUAAAGAAAGCGUAAUAGCUCACUGGUCGAGUCGGCCUGCGCGGAAGAUGUAACGGGGCUAAACCAUGCACCGAAGCUGCGGCAGCGACACUAUGUGUUGUUGGGUAGGGGAGCGUUCUGUAAGCCUGCGAAGGUGUGCUGUGAGGCAUGCUGGAGGUAUCAGAAGUGCGAAUGCUGACAUAAGUAACGAUAAAGCGGGUGAAAAGCCCGCUCGCCGGAAGACCAAGGGUUCCUGUCCAACGUUAAUCGGGGCAGGGUGAGUCGACCCCUAAGGCGAGGCCGAAAGGCGUAGUCGAUGGGAAACAGGUUAAUAUUCCUGUACUUGGUGUUACUGCGAAGGGGGGACGGAGAAGGCUAUGUUAGCCGGGCGACGGUUGUCCCGGUUUAAGCAUGUAGGCUGGUUAUCCAGGCAAAUCCGGAUAAUCAAGGCUGAGGUGUGAUGACGAGGCACUACGGUGCUGAAGUAACAAAUGCCCUGCUUCCAGGAAAAGCCUCUAAGCAUCAGGUAACAUCAAAUCGUACCCCAAACCGACACAGGUGGUCAGGUAGAGAAUACCAAGGCGCUUGAGAGAACUCGGGUGAAGGAACUAGGCAAAAUGGUGCCGUAACUUCGGGAGAAGGCACGCUGGUGUGUAGGUGAAGUCCCUGCGGAUGGAGCUGAGACCAGUCGAAGAUACCAGCUGGCUGCAACUGUUUAUUAAAAACACAGCACUGUGCAAACACGAAAGUGGACGUAUACGGUGUGACGCCUGCCCGGUGCCGGAAGGUUAAUUGAUGGGGUUAUCCGUAAGGAGAAGCUCUUGAUCGAAGCCCCGGUAAACGGCGGCCGUAACUAUAACGGUCCUAAGGUAGCGAAAUUCCUUGUCGGGUAAGUUCCGACCUGCACGAAUGGCGUAAUGAUGGCCAGGCUGUCUCCACCCGAGACUCAGUGAAAUUGAACUCGCUGUGAAGAUGCAGUGUACCCGCGGCAAGACGGAAAGACCCCGUGAACCUUUACUAUAGCUUGACACUGAACAUUGAGCCUUGAUGUGUAGGAUAGGUGGGAGGCUUUGAAGCGUGGACGCCAGUCUGCGUGGAGCCAACCUUGAAAUACCACCCUUUAAUGUUUGAUGUUCUAACGUUGGCCCCUUACCGGGGUUGCGGACAGUGUCUGGUGGGUAGUUUGACUGGGGCGGUCUCCUCCCAAAGCGUAACGGAGGAGCACGAAGGUUAGCUAAUCCUGGUCGGACAUCAGGAGGUUAGUGCAAUGGCAUAAGCUAGCUUGACUGCGAGCGUGACGGCGCGAGCAGGUGCGAAAGCAGGUCAUAGUGAUCCGGUGGUUCUGAAUGGAAGGGCCAUCGCUCAACGGAUAAAAGGUACUCCGGGGAUAACAGGCUGAUACCGCCCAAGAGUUCAUAUCGACGGCGGUGUUUGGCACCUCGAUGUCGGCUCAUCACAUCCUGGGGCUGAAGUAGGUCCCAAGGGUAUGGCUGUUCGCCAUUUAAAGUGGUACGCGAGCUGGGUUUAGAACGUCGUGAGACAGUUCGGUCCCUAUCUGCCGUGGGCGCUGGAGAAUUGAGGGGGGCUGCUCCUAGUACGAGAGGACCGGAGUGGACGCAUCACUGGUGUUCGGGUUGUCAUGCCAAUGGCACUGCCCGGUAGCUAAAUGCGGAAGAGAUAAGUGCUGAAAGCAUCUAAGCACGAAACUUGCCCCGAGAUGAGUUCUCCCUGAGACUUUAAGUCUCCUGAAGGAACGUUAAAGACGAUGACGUUGAUAGGCCGGGUGUGUAAGCGCAGCGAUGCGUUGAGCUAACCGGUACUAAUGAACCGUGAGGCUUAACCUU